AUUUAUCUUUGCAGAGAUGUUCAUUUGAUUGUAACAGCAGUAGGAAAGAGCAGUAACAAGAGUAGGACAGCUAAGCUAAUUAUGGCUAAACAUUUGGAAUUUAGUGAAAGCAAAAAUUGACCUCGCAAAGAUGGAUAGGUUUAUUUAGAAAGUCAGCUAUUUACAUUUAGUGUUCAUCCCAAGUAGGAGAUUUUGAAUUGAGUCUAAAUUGACCGCAAAUUUACUUAACUUGUUAAAAUCAACCAGGCUGUUACUGAAGCGGUCGAGGAAUUACCUUUGAGGUCUCAGUCAUAGGUAGUAAUGCAAAAUCUAACAUUACACUAACCUUAUAUUUUUGUAAAAGGCAAAAUUGACUUUUUAUUUAUAUUGAACACAUAUUUCUGUGUUCAACACAUCACAUUUUUUUGAAUGCAGUGAUAAGAAAAUCUUUAGCUGUGGGAGCCAUAUUUACAGGCCUGAACUUGAUUGACAGCAGUGAUGGAUAGUUAAUGAAAGUCAUGGGUGGCUUUCUUGCCUGGGAAGCUCUCUUUUACAUCAUGUUGGAGGUUCAUAAUGGGAAAUCUAAGGAGAAAGGCAGUGCUAGUGUAGAAAUGGAAUCAGAAUCGGUAAAAAUUGAUGGUCUGCUGAUCGGUCUGUUCUUUCUGGGAAACAUUUGCUUUUUGGUGACACUUUUGGUUGGAAUUGGGGUGAAAUAAGAGCCCCAAAAGAAUUGUCUGAAGAAUUGUUUUUUUCUUUUGGUAUUUUAUCCAAAUACACCUGAUAGGAUAUUGUGCACUGAAAGUUUGGACCCAUUGAGAUUGUUUUCUCUUUCAGUACGCUCUUACUUGUUUUUUUUUUUUUUAUUCUUUUAGUGGAUGUUUUUGUUCGAUAUUUUCAUUAAGCUUUCAGUUUCGUGGCUAAACUUAAGUUCAAUUACUGAAGUAAAUUGGCAAUCAGUAUCUAACCAAACUCCAUUUGGUCAGAACUGAUUGUCCAUUAUAGAGUGCAAUGAUGUUUUUCCACGAGCAUUAUAAAAUUUUUAGUUGUUGAUUUUUAGGAAUCCUAGUUCCUGUUAGAGGUAAAGACCUUGUAUUUGAUUCCAUGUGAGCUGAUUUCUGUCAUCCAAUGUUUUCUUGUAUUGUGUUGUUAAGUCUUUGUCUUUGUUUCCUGUUAUGUUGCUUCCUGUUUUAUUUUGUGAGUCUCUUGUCUCUUAUGUUUUGUCCUUGGUAAGUUUAAGGUGUGCUUCAUACACCCAUGUGUUUCUAAUGCAUGUAUAGUCUCAGAUUCUCUUUGUCAUUGUGUUGGCUUACUUACAUGUGUUUCUGUGGUUUUCGUGUUUGGACUUUGAC
ensembl:lncRNA